rnacentral:rRNA from 1 species
GACGAACGCUGGCGGCGUGCUUAACACAUGCAAGUCGAACGGUAAGGCUCCAGCUUGCUGGGGUACACGAGUGGCGAACGGGUGAGUAACACGUGGGUGACCUGCCCUGCACUUCGGGAUAAGCCUGGGAAACUGGGUCUAAUACCGGAUAGGACCGCACCGUGAGGGUGUGGUGGAAAGUUUUUUCGGUGUGGGAUGGGCCCGCGGCCUAUCAGCUUGUUGGUGGGGUAAUGGCCUACCAAGGCGGCGACGGGUAGCCGGCCUGAGAGGGUGGACGGCCACAUUGGGACUGAGACACGGCCCAGACUCCUACGGGAGGCAGCAGUGGGGAAUAUUGCACAAUGGGCGGAAGCCUGAUGCAGCGACGCCGCGUGGGGGAUGACGGCCUUCGGGUUGUAAACUCCUUUCACCAUCGACGAAGGGUUUCUGACGGUAGAUGGAGAAGAAGCACCGGCUAACUACGUGCCAGCAGCCGCGGUAAUACGUAGGGUGCGAGCGUUGUCCGGAAUUACUGGGCGUAAAGAGCUCGUAGGUGGUUUGUCGCGUCGUCUGUGAAAUUCCGGGGCUUAACUCCGGGCGUGCAGGCGAUACGGGCAUAACUUGAGUACUGUAGGGGAGACUGGAAUUCCUGGUGUAGCGGUGAAAUGCGCAGAUAUCAGGAGGAACACCGGUGGCGAAGGCGGGUCUCUGGGCAGUAACUGACGCUGAGGAGCGAAAGCAUGGGGAGCGAACAGGAUUAGAUACCCUGGUAGUCCAUGCCGUAAACGGUGGGCGCUAGGUGUGGGUUUCCUUCCACGGGAUCCGUGCCGUAGCUAACGCAUUAAGCGCCCCGCCUGGGGAGUACGGCCGCAAGGCUAAAACUCAAAGGAAUUGACGGGGGCCCGCACAAGCGGCGGAGCAUGUGGAUUAAUUCGAUGCAACGCGAAGAACCUUACCUGGGCUUGACAUAUACAGGAUCGCGCCAGAGAUGGUGUUUCCCUUGUGGCUUGUAUACAGGUGGUGCAUGGUUGUCGUCAGCUCGUGUCGUGAGAUGUUGGGUUAAGUCCCGCAAUGAGCGCAACCCUUGUCUUAUGUUGCCAGCACGUUGUGGUGGGGACUCGUAAGAAACUGCCGGGGUUAACUCGGAGGAAGGUGGGGAUGACGUCAAAUCAUCAUGCCCCUUAUGUCCAGGGCUUCACACAUGCUACAAUGGUCGGUACAGUGGGUUGCCAGUCCGUGAGGGCGAGCUAAUCCCGCAAAGCCGGUCUCAGUUCGGAUCGGGGUCUGCAACUCGACCCCGUGAAGUCGGAGUCGCUAGUAAUCGCAGAUCAGCAACGCUGCGGUGAAUACGUUCCCGGGCCU